rnacentral:rRNA from 1 species
GUGUCCCAACUGCUGUCGCCAGCUCGUGUUGUGAAAUGUUGGGUUAAGUCCCGCAACGAGCGCAACCCUUAUCCUUUGUUGCCAGCGAUUCGGUCGGGAACUCAAAGGAGACUGCCGGUGAUAAACCGGAGGAAGGUGGUGAUGACGUCAAGUCAUCAUGGCCCUUACGAGUAGGGCUACACACGUGCUACAAUGGCGUAUACAGAGGGAAGCGAGAGUGCGAGCUGGAGCGAAUCUCACAAAGUACGUCUAAGUCCGGAUUGGAGUCUGCAACUCGACUCCAUGAAGUCGGAAUCGCUAGUAAUCGCAAAUCAGAAUGUUGCGGUGAAUACGUUCCCGGGCCUUGUACACACCGCCCGUCACACCAUGGGAGUGGGUUGUACCAGAAGUAGAUAGCUUAACCUUUUGGAGGGCGUUUACCACGGUAUGAUUCAUGACUGGGGUGAAGUCGUAACAAGGUAGCCA